rnacentral:RNase_P_RNA from 1 species
AAGGCAAAACGGCUUAUCGCGGGUGGAUGUAUGUUCAUUUGAGGAAAGUCCGGGCAACAUAGAGUAAUGUACCUUUGGAAACAAAGGGUGUAUGCGUUGAAAAACGAAUACAACAGCAAGUGUAACAGAAAAUAACCGUUUGCUUUGGCAAAUAAGGGUGAAAAAGUGAGGUAAGAGCUCACACGCUUGAAUAGUAAUAUUCAUUCGGUACAAACCUUACAUGUUGUAAAACCAAGUAAACUACAGAUUUAGAGCUACUCGUUCUAAUGCUUGUUUAUUCAAGAUGCUGUAGAGGGUAGGUUGCAUAGAUAAAUGAUAAGCUCAUUCGCCUUGGCGAAGAGACAGAACCCGGCUUAUAGUUUUGCCUUUUUU